GCGCCGAUGGUGGAAUUGGUAGACACGCUGGCUUCAGGUGCCAGUGCCUCCGGGCGUGAGAGUUCGAGUCUCUCUCGGCGCACCA
rnacentral:tRNA from 3 species